UGGGCUGCUGCUAGUGGGCUGCUGCUGGUCCACCGAAUAUGGCCUGCUGUUUUUCCCUUUUUUUUCUUUAUUUUUCUGGGCUACUUUGCCUUUUUUUUAAAAGGCCUGUUUCCCUUUUUUUUGGUUUCUGGGUCGGGUGCGGGUUGGAUUCGGGUCGGGCCGGCCCGAAAAAAAUUAUUUUUUCUUUUUUUUUCUUUCCCUUUUUUUCUCUCUUUUUUCCUUCCUUCUUUUUCUUCUUUCUUUUUCCUUCUUCGUUCGCCCCCUAGUCCAAAUUCACGCUAUUGCGCCGCCGCCGCUUCUUCCGACCGUGGUACGACGGUGCCGGGGAAGGAAAUCAUGGCCUAGGGAGCUGCCGGAGUAGCUGGUGGUGGCAGGAGCAUGCUCGGAUGCCGAUUGGGUGAUUGGACAAGUCUAGAAGGACCAAAACGUAGAAGGCACAAAAUAUUUGGGGUAAAAAUGUAAUUUUAGGAAAAUAUAGGGCCAAGAUGUAAUUUUUAAAAAGUUUAGGGGUCAAAGUGAAAUUUUGAGAAAGUUUAGGGGUUGAAAUGUAAUUUUAGAAAAGUUUAGGGUCAAAAUGCAAAUUUCAAAAAGUAUAAGGGUCAAAAUGUAAUUUUUAUUUUUUGCAUUUUAUAUUUUUUUUCGAGAUUUUUUUAUUA